CCGGCGCGCCUGCGCGCUGCGCGGCCGGCUCCCAGCUCAGCGCAAGAUGGCGGCGGGCGCCUCGGACCCCCUGGAAGAGAUGCUGCUCUUCUCCGAGGAGGUGGACGAGAAGGCGGUCAGCGACCUGGUGGGCUCCUUGGAAUCGCAGCUGGCCGGCGGCCGGGGCUCCGCCGAGGCGCCCCAGCCCAGGACCUCCGCCCCGUCCCAGCAGCAGCAGCCGCAGCAGCAGCAGCACCAGGGGAGCCUAGCGGGGGGCAGCAGCCCGGUCCGGCAGCAGCAAGGGCAUCCCGCGCCCCCUCCUGCGCCCGGGGUAGAGGAGGCGGCGGGGUGCCCCGGAGCCGCGGAGAGCCGAGCCCCUGCCCAGGGGCCGCUCCCGUCCCCGUCCCCCCCGGCGGCAGCAGCGGCGGCAGCGGCGGCGGCAGGGAGGGGAGUGAGUGUAAACAGUAGUAGUGUGCAGCAAUCACAUGGACCGGCUCUCCUCAGCAGCGGCGGCAGCAGCCCCGCCGCCCCUGCCCCGCCGCAGCCCGCUGCCCCCCCGCCCGCCGGCGCCCCUGCCCAGCCUGUCAACAACCAUGUGGCUGCCGGCGCCGCUGUCCGGGACGCGGGGAGCCCCAGCCCCGGCGGCAGCCCGCCCGCCGCUGACAGCGCACCGCCGCAGCGCGCCGAGGCCGCGGCGGGGAACGAGACCCCCGCGGGGGGCACCGGGCCGGCGGGAGCGGCGGAGGGCGCCGCCGCCGCCACGACCGCGCCGCUCCCCGGCGAGGCGGCGCCCAACGGGGAGGGCGCCGGGGGCCGGCCAGCGGCAGCCCCACCAGUCAGCAGCCACGGCAGAGCCGACGCCGCCACAGCACAGACCAAGCCCGCGCCCGGCCCGCUCCCCGCAGUAAACGCACUCAGUAACUCCGCCAGCCCCGCGCCCAACGCGGCCGCCCCGCCGGGACAGGGUUCGGUCGCCAACUGCGCCCCGGCGGCCCCCGGAGCCGCGCCCAAGACGGCGGUCACCGCCGCGGGCGUCGCCAAGGCGGGCGCUGCCCUCCCCGUCGCCCCCGCCGCCCCCCAGGCCCUGUCGCCCAGGCCGGCGAUGGGCGCUGCCCCCCGGAUCGUGGCCCCCCAGCUGAUCGUGAGGCCGCCGCAGCAGCCCGCCAUCCAGCAGACCACCAUCCAGCUGCCCCCCGGCUUCACCAUCCCGCCCGGUAUGGUCUUGGUGCGCACGGAUGCUGGACAGCUUGUGAUGGUGCCUCAGCAGGCUCUGGCGCAGGCUCAAAUGCAGGCUCAAGUACAAACACAGGGACAAGGUCCUACCAGCAUCUCACCCAGACUGUCAGUGCCCACAACUGGCCCCGUUUUUCGAUUAUCAACAACUCAGCAACCACCUUCUGUAGCCACGUCCACUGUCCGCCUGGGACUUCCAGUGCAAGCCAAAGUCGUUCAGUCAACGGCUGCGCCUGUCAGUGCCACGUCUGCCGGGGCUCUGCCGGGAGGCUCUAUUCUCUCACAUACCACAGUAUCAGUAGCUACAACGAGUGCUCAAAGUUUGUUCAAGACAACAGUAGCGACUGGAACAUCAGCCUCUCAGCAACCUGCAGUAAUUGGUGGGCAAACUCAAGCUUCAGCACAAAACCAGGGUCAGCCUCGGCUGCCGCUUCCACCUCAUACAACAGCACAAGUCCCAGCACAGCCCCAGGUCAUACCGAGCUCUCCUCUACCUGGAACUACAGUUGUAUCACAGGAAAUGCAAGAGAAUGUGAAAAAAUGUAAAAACUUUUUAGCUACCCUUAUAAAACUUGCUUCUCAUAACUCACCAUCUCCAGAAACGUCCCGUAAUGUGAAAGCUCUGGUUCAGGAUUUGUUGGAUGCAAAGAUUGACCCGGAAGAAUUUACAGGCCGCCUUCAGUCGGAACUCAAAUCAUCUCCUCAGCCAUACCUUGUACCUUUCCUUAAGAAAAGUCUACCUGCAUUGAGACAAUCUUUACUGAAUAGUCAACAUUCAGUUUUGCAAGGACAGCCGUCUCAGCAGUCACUUCAACAAACCAAGCUACCACAAGUUAUACCUCAAUCUGCCUCUGGAAGCAUUUCCUCUGUUGUCGCAACGCAGACAAUAGGAAUAAGGCAACCAAACAACAUUUGCACAGUCUCUGUAUCAAAUACAGUGCAGCCUCCUCAGGUUAAGGUGGUACAGUCAAAUCAGAGUUCUCAACUGCAGAUUAUCCAGUCAACAUCUGCUCAAACUGUGAAACGAAACCCUGCUUGCCAGACUACCCAGAUUAGGAUGCCAGUGGUAAUAACUCAGACCAUUAGACCACAAGGCACAGUAGGGAAGGCACCAACAAUACAAGCCGGCAAAAGUCCUGGGGGCUUUGGUGUUCAGGUCUCUGCAAAUCAGAAAAACAAGCUGAAUGACCCUGGAGGUGGUUCUUUCAGAGAUGACGAUGACAUCAAUGAUGUUGCCUCUAUGGCUGGUGUUAAUCUUAAUGAAGAAAGUGCCCGAAUUAUGGCUACCAACUCUGACUUGGUUGGAACCCAGAUACAGUCCUGUAAAGAUGAACCUUUUCUUGCUGCUAUACCUCUACAUAAACGCAUACUUGAAAUGGCUAAAAAACUAGGAAUUACUGAUGUACCAACUGAGGUGGUUACUUUUAUUUCCCAUGCAACACAAAACAGAUUAAGAACAGUGAUAGAGAAAGUAACAGUGAUAACCCAGCACCGAAUGGAAUCCUACAAAGAUGAUGAAUGGUACGAGCAAGCUACAGAUGUCCGAUCGCAGUUAAAGUUUUUUGAACAGUUGGAGCGUUUAGAAAAGCAAAGGAAAGAUGAACAAGAGAGGGAAAUUUUGCUAAAGGCUGCCAAGAGUCGCUCAAGGCAAGAAGACCCAGAGCAAGCUAGACUGAAACAAAAAGCAAAGGAGAUGCAGCAACAAGAACUUGCACAAAUGAGGCAGAGGGAUGCCAAUCUAACUGCACUGGCAGCUAUCGGCCCCCGGAAGAAACGGAAGCUUGAUUCACCUGGACUGCUCACCAUAGGAGGAGAGAUGUUUAACCAGCACCGGUGGCAUGUUUUCCUUCAACAAUUGCGGUAGGUCUUGUAGAAUGAGCACUUUUCAGCUGUUUGGAUACUGCACCUUUGACUAUUUACAGUUGGUUUAGUUCUGUUCAUCAAAAAUAGAAAAUAUGCAUUGAACAUUUCAUUAUUUGAUGGUGUACUACACCAUCUGCUGCCAUGAUGCACACAACUCUUCCUUGUUUUGAGAAAGGUACUGUGAAAUCUCGGUUUGAACCUGUAGGUUUUGAAAACAUACAAUGUACAGACAUGUGAGCAUUCCUGUUUUAACCCUUAGCAUUAUUAGAGAUUUCAAGAGCUUCUUCACAGCAUCUCACAAAUUAAAGGCUUAUCCAAGUACAGCCAUAAGAAAAAUACCGUUUAUAUCCUGCAUGGUAUUAAAAUAGUGGGAUUACUUGCUUUAUCAGUUUAAGGAGGUGGUAGAAAAUUGAAUCUCUCAUUUUGUGAUCGUUUCUCUUCUUUAAUACAUUUCACCUAGUUUAGAAGUAUGGAUCAGAAACUCACAAGGAAAACUGAUGCCCUUUCCUGCAGCUAAAUUAACAGGAAUCACGUGGAAAACAAUCUGAGCCUUGUAUGAAAAGGGGAGCCAUUAAAAUUAGCCCUGAGCUAUGGACUGCACCCAAUAUCACUAGAACUGCACUCACUGCAGAUGUGGAGGCUGGCUCUCAGGCAAACUGAGCUGUGUUGUAUAGCUACAAUUAAAAUCAACUCCUCUGCCAAAAAAUAAAAGGGAGGAGGGUAGAAGGAGAACAUCAAAGACAGAUUGAAAUGUGUAGUUAGUAAUAAGAGUGGUCUCCUCUUGAACCAAGCCCUGCAGCGAUUCAUGGCCCCCUUGUUAAUGAGAAAUUUUGACCUCUGGUUUGUAAGUUAAACUUGUAAUCCCAGCUAAUGAAGUAAAUCAAUCCCAACUUCAGUCUGUUGUUCCCAUUUUUCUUCGCACAGUGUGUCUGGGAGUUAGUAUCCAGGUCUACAAAUACAAUUUGGGGAAAAGAAAUUAUUCUGCUGCUGUGUAAGUUCUGUUUUGCAGAUUCACUUAAGCAUAUCUAAAGCAGACAGAUGAUUUUAACUUGUCUAUGUGCUUGUAAAAUGUCCUAAUAGUUUGGCUGUUUUAGAGACAUUUAAAUAAUAGGCCUAUGUUACCAUUUUAAAAGGAAAGCUGAAUUUGUAACUAUCCCAAAAUAUUCAUCUCAUAAACAGAUUCAUGCUUUAGAUAUGCAGCUCUGUUUGAAAUUAUUUGAGGAGCCUUCUUUUCAUUCUUGCUGUGUAUUUAAGGGGACACCGAUGAUAGUUUUGAAUCAGAAAUAACGACUUCCAUUGCAAAAUCGAUUCUGAGAGAAAACGGAUUCACUAGCGAUAAAAUGAAUGCAAAGCUAAGAUACUAAUUUUCAUAAUGGGUGGAUCAUCCUCUGAAAUACUUACUUCUAUGUCUUGUAAACCACUGGGUGACAAAAAACCCAGCCCGAAAUCCAGCCCAAGAGCCCUGGUAGAGCCUCUGCAUUGAUUCCAUGUCACACCAUGUUAUUAAAGAAUCUUUAAGAGAUCAGCAAAUGGUAGAAAAGGAAGUGGAGUCUUUGUGGCAAAAAUAAGAUUACACAUUUAUAACGUGAUUCCUUAAAAGAAAACAUUACCAGCUAGACUUAAAAAAAAAACCCACACGUUUGUAGCUGCUUCACAUUGCGACUGCAUUAGUAAUUGGUAUUGCUGCGGACCCUUCUAAAUGUUACAGACCCUUUUCUGUGCUGAUCCGUUUCUCUCCAAAGAGAGGUUUUUACGUUAUUUUGUGGCUAUUCAGUGCUACAGACACUGUAUUACAGGGACAGAAGCUUCCUAACAAGAUGUGUUUCUUUCAAAUGAAGGGGUACACAAGCUUCCCUCUAACUGUGGGCGGCUUGCUGCGUCUCCACAGGCACCUCCGCUCUCCCCGGCAGCUGCGGCGCCGUGCGGCGCAGGCUUUGGGCUCUCAAGUUUUUGGCUCUUCAUUUUUUGUAGCCAUAUUCCUGCAACUUGGUCAACAGACCUUACAGCACGCUACCGUGUUUUGUAGAUGUCACGCAUUUAGAUUUCUGUCAUGAAGAGGGAACAAAUGACCAAGUGCUGCUGUGUUUGAUGCAAUUUUAUUAUAGAAAAUAAGUUUUUUUACUUAUUAGUGAAGUAGGAUUCUCCGGGAAUGACAUGGUUCAGCAGUUUUUCCUGCCAUGGCCUUGGGGUGCUGUAUUUUGGUUACGUUGGGGUCUGUUCUUUCCGGAAGCAGAAGCCGUAUUAUGUUUAUGCCUUUAAAAAGAAGGUGACUCCUGACUGGAUUUGAUUCCUUGUGGCCAGAAAGCUGACACGGGGACUUCCUGAGGGCAGGAUUAUCAGGAGGCUGUUGGUGUGCCUGAAGGGAUGCAUUCCCCCGGGGUGGGGACACAAAGGCUCCUGCAGAGCCCCACUGAAUGACCUGUCAUCAGCAGGUGACACCUGGUCCGUGUCUGCUGCCCUUAACUGAUGGAGACUGGGGAGCACCGAGAAUGGUGAGAUUGAACCCAACUCCAGAAAAGGCCUCUUUGUAACCGACCCAAGGCUGUUUUGCAGCUGAGACAGACAGGGAUGGCCCCUGAGUAAGCUUCUUUUGGCUUUUCUCAGCAAAGCAAAAUCUGAUGGGUCCGGAAAAAGAGGUUGAUGAACAGCAGGUUUUGCAGAGGACCUGCAAGUUGAGGAGGGCGAGAUGCAAGAGGCCGUCUCCCAAGGAAAGGGAGGAAGAGCUGUUCUUUAGAGGAACAAAGUGUUAAUGCAACCCAAAUAUAGAGGUUAUAUCCCCUCAUAAGUUUUAGCCUGUAAUGUAUAUUUUUCCAAAGGAUCAAAUUUAUUACUCAGAGUUCCUCUGUAUCUAGAGGGACUCAAUUUGGUUUAUAAGUAACACAUUAAGUAUUAUGUAUGAUCUUCAAAGUACAUGUGAAGGGCUAUGUUAAACUGUAUACUAUUUUUGUUGAUGUACAAUCAUUAACUAUACCUGUAGUAUUAUUGGAGAUGCUCACGACCCUCAUAAUGAUUUGAAGCUGGGUGCUUUAUGCUGCUGCAAAUCAUUAGCACAUUAUAAGCAAGAGUUUAUAAGAACCUACUUUUUGUCUCACCAAAUUUGAAAGAAGCUUUGUUAAUUUUGACAACAAUUGGAGAAACACAGCAGUGAAUCUGUUCUCAAGUGAUAUACCUUAGUAUAUGGAGGAUCCUGUUGCGAAGAACUUCGAAAAUAAUCAUGGUUUAUUAGCUGCACAGUCUUUUCCUCUUUGUUUCUAUUCAUUUAAUUUGAAGUGAAACAACUCAGCAUGCAAAACUAAAAUUAGCUGCAAAAAAGGUGUAAGUGAAUAAACAGGCAAAUCCAUUAGAGUCGAUGGGUUAUUGGAUCCCUUGCCAUUCUUCAGAUGGCGGCCUAUUAAAAGUGGUAAUGUCUGCCUGCGGCACGGCCCUGGGGCACGCAAGAAGGCCAAGACAGGCAUAUUUCACAUGCAUCAGACACAAGAAUUAAAUAGACCAAUGUUCCCUAAAAGACUGAAGUACAUCUCUUUCUGACGUUCAUCUCGGGCAAAAAUUCAUUGAUCUCAGUAUGUCCCUUGGCAAUUAUAAAAUAUUAAAUCCAAGUCACACUUUUCUAGUUGGCUUAAUUUUUUCUCUAUUCACAGCUUUCUAUUUGAUCAAUUUUAACAAGUUAGGAAUAACAUCUAAUAAUAAAAUAAAAACUGCAGAGUGAAAAAGUUUGUUCAUUUGACAUUCUUAUCUUUUUGUGUUUAGUCUUUAGACUUGCCUGUCAUCUUAUUGUAUUUUAAAUAAAUUUGUGCGCUAAAUAGAUGAAAAGAAUAUAUAUUUAUACACACAAACCCCCCCUCCACUGUCUCCUUUGAAUUAGCAGUUUCUUUUCAAAGCUGGAUACUGGUAUGUGCCCAUAGUAUUACAAUGAAAUCUGUGUUUUAAAGCUAAAUCUGCGUAGUUAAUCAGCAUUGUUUAUUCCUGCUGUAAUUACUUCUGCUUCAUAUUUCUCUUAUAAUGCCAGGCUGGAAAAUGUAAUAUUGUAUGUAAUGUAUGUAAUGUACUUCUGAAUUACUACUUACACAAGCAUUUUUUUUCCUGUUUUAACCAGAAUUUGGGUUUAUUCAUAUAAAUACCAGUCAAGUAGCAAAAUGAAAAAUAACCUGUCAGAACCUGGAUCUUUUUAAACCGAAAUUUGGAGAUUGUAGCAUACAGUACAGAAGAACUAUUGGCUUUGCUAGUGGUCUUUGCUGAUGAGAGACUAAUUGUGAGGCAGUGUUGCUCCACACAGGCGCUCUACCUGUUGUGUUCGCCUGUUCCCUUCCUGCUCUGCAUUCUCAUCCGCCUGGCACACUUACAACCUUCCAUUCCUUAAAUAAGCUCAUUCGGUGGCCAACAGCUAUAAGCAAUCUUGGCAGAGAAGACGUCAAGAAGAAUGCUUAAAGUCUUCUUGGUUGGCUUUCAAAAAAUGACAAUUGUGAUUAUUUACUAUCAGCAAAAUUACCCCAUAGAAAGGUGGGGGAGGCCGACCAAUAGGUCUUAAAUUUUCAGAAAAGUGAAAUUUAAGGUUUUGCUUUACAUUUUGGAAGUGAGACCCUGCUGCCGUGUCACUACAGCUUUAUAAACUACUUGGUUUUUAUUUUUUUUUUAAGUAACAAAAGCUAUUUUAAGUAUUAAUUAGGCAGGAAAAAAAAAGAGUAUGGCUGCUGGUGUAGCUCCAUUAGCACCAAUGGAGAGAAAUGGGCUUGCCCUCAAUGCCUGGUUUUGAACAUAGACAGGUUAGAUAUAUAUUUCUGCGCUUUCUCAAUUGAAUUUUUAGCCUGGUAAACGUUUACAUUAACAUUCAACCUAGCAUGUGUAAGGUUAGGUUCCUUAUAUGUGUUUAUGGUCCCCAGCACAGGUUUGGUGAUUCGCAGCCCGGGGCAGUGACCAGUUCGCUCUGAUGGCUGCACUGAGGUCCCUGCUGCUAAAACGAGGGUGUUAGUACCUCAUAUCAUCCAUCCUUCUCUUUUUUGGGGGUGCUGGGGUAUUUUUUUGUUACAUUGCUAAUCGUGCCUUUCCCUUGCUGUCUCUUUGUACAGCGUAUGUUGUAAGAGAGCUCAUUUUCAGAUGGAGCGCAAAGGUGCAUGUAGUUACUAAUUGACCAGCAUCCGUCUGUCCUGCCUGUGACUAACAAAGAGGUGUGAGUACAAUGCAGUAUUCAGGGAACACAGGAAACUGCUGGUGACCCAGAAUCCCACCAGCUGUAGAGAUUUUUUUUCCCCCUUUUUCAUAGAAAUUGUGAUCCAGGCAUUUAAAAGUCACUUCAAGACCAACAUUACUCAGAAGCAUAUUGAGUCCUGAAAAAAUGCACGUCAUCUUCCCUUUCUAAAAUUAAUUCUUUAUUCUUCUGGAAGAACCACAAUUUUAAAAAGGUCUGCAAUAGAACGUAGACUAAAAUGCAAAUGCUGGUCUGUAUCUCUCUCCCUAUAUAUAUAUAUAUAAUGUUUUCUAAUUCCAUACCUGGUUUACUAUCAGCCGUUCGAUAUAGAACUAUAAGCUGUCUCAAACAUGGCUGAGACUAAUCCUAAUGAGAUUAGAAGAGUUGUGUUCUGUGUUGGGUGACUGCGAAUUGACGGGAUAAAUUGGAUCUUUCCCAGUUUCAGCAUAUGACUUGGUAAUAUAUUCUCUGUAAUGGUGCUUGUGUUGAACAGCCCACACACCUUAAUGACCAGCCCAAAUUUGAUUUCAGUUUCUUACCUGAUGGACUGACACAAAAUAUGUUCUUUAUUAAAACCCUGAUUCUAAUUGAAGUUUUGUCUAAUUCAACAUUAAUAUAUUGGAUUCAAAUGAUACUUCUGUUCAAAAUAGUUUCCUUUAUUGAUUCCUUGCUGCCACCAACCAUAUACUCCUAGUCUUGUGCUAUUUAUCUCAUCUGCCCUGAACAUAACUCUUGCCUGUUUGUCUUCGAAUUUAUAAAUUGCAGAACUGGGUUUGCUCUUGAAAUCCACUUAAAAUUCUGUAAUUCAACAAAAUGAGACAAAACUAUGAUUUUCACUUCUAUUUUCCAUGAGUUCACAUUAUAUGAAAGCUGUGCUUCCCCAGCUAGUAUUUUAUUCUGCAGAAACAAAUAUAGCUGUUCUUAAUUAAAAAAAAAAAAAUCCAUUAAACAUAAAUUAAUGAUAGUUUAAUCAGUUUGCUGGCUGUUUACAUGUUUUUUUCCUAGUCAGUUCUGCAUCCUGAUAUUCUUGAUAUUCUUACACAUUAUGUUACGAUGCUAUGAUCCAAAAGUGAAAUGAACAGCUGUAAAAAGCGACAACGUUCUAUUUUAAGGAUGUACAAUAUUGUUUAUUAAAAUCAUGCUGUUUAAAGAACAUUUCACUGAACUUCAUUUUUCUUGAACUGCAUACUAAUUUUAAAGGUCAGUAUGGUUAGUUACCAUAGUAGUGACCUAAAAAUAACCUUUCUAGUAUACCUGUAUAUUUCUGAUCUGUAGUGUUAGCAUUCAGAAAUGUUCUUUCCCUUAGAGUUUCAGCAGCUAAAUAAGUUGCAACCCCUUCAGCUAUACUCAUAAAAAUUUGCUUCCAGACAACAUGGUCUGUUUAUUGUGUAAUAAUCGAAAUGGCACUAAAUUGCAAUGAUUGCCGAACACUUAGGAAUUGCAUUAACCACUUAACUGCUAAACUAUUUUCCAUUUUCUUCCUCACUGUGAAGUAUUAUAUUGAUUUUCCUCUUAGUUAGAGCUGCUUAUUCAACCUCUGAGAUGAACAGAAUAUUUUAGUAGCCUUGUACAUUGUCAUAUUUUGAGUCAAUCAGCAGUGACCUUGGCUAAGAAUUUUCUAGAGGUUUUUAAAAAGCUAUUAUCAAGCAAAAUAGCUCACAGUCCAUAGCCUUGGAUCUUUACAGAAAAUAAGGGGAAACACAAAACAUCUCGGAGUGAGUUUAAAAAAUUAGGAGAAGAAUUACAUUUUUCUCUUUCUAUAUGAGAUGGGUUAUUCCGUAUUACCUUUAAUACGCUGUUGCUAAGAUAAAUUAGUUAACAGUUAUAAGGUCAUGUGCAGGGACUUAAUUGUAGCCUGCUAUGUGGUGUUGGGAGUGUAACUCAAAAUCUAAAUACAGGGAUAGGUGAAGAAUUUUAGUAGUGCCCUUGUUUUCUAUGGGGCUGUUGAUGACUCCUUGUUUUCCAACUGUUCCUUAUUGACCGAGGUAAAACAGACGAACAUUUGAGCAAUAUCCAACUUCCAAGCUCCAUGGUGAUUGCUAGCUCCACUACUCCUCUUACCAAAUAUUUUCCUUUAAAAUUUAUUUCCUUUUCCUCUCCAAAUCCCAGUCCUGUUUGUUUGUGAGAAAACUUGUCUUAAAAAGCAGAGGGGCUUUUCAAUUUGUGUUUUUGUGUGUUUUGUUUUUUUUUUUUUUUAAGCAAAACCUUUCCUGAAAUCCUGCUGCAAAAAAAAAUUAAGGGGUGGGGGGGGAAGUCUGAUACAGGUAAGGAAGAGUUAACUAGAAAUGGAGCGGGGAUGCUGGGGGGCAGCAGUGCUGCAGAACAUAGCAGUGUUCGUGCGAAGGCAAGUCAUUUCCCGAAACACUGCAGACACAUGGCCCCGGGCAGUCUAAAACCUUUGGAGACCAAAAUGGCUCGCAGGAGUUAGAAGUAAUAAGGUGUUUUUCCCUUCUUUCUCCUUCACUGAAAUUCUGUAAGGUUGCUAUGCAUUACCAAGGAACAAUGCCACUAUUUUUGUGUUUUAUAUGGGUAUUAAGAUCCAUUACAAUUUGACAUUUUUAAGAUUGGUUAUCCUGUAGUUUGGUGUUAAAUUGAAGUUGUUUGUUUUGAAUUUAAUUCUUUCAUUUUUCAAAGGGAAAAAAGGCAGCACUGCUGUGCUGAUAGCUUACUGAAGUAUGCCAGGAUUUGACGUUUGAAUUGAAUGUUUGCUAUCCCAAAAUACAGGCAAAAUUGUCUGCAAAAGAAGUCUUGAUUUUUCUAUUUUUUAACCAUUUUUUUAAGUUCCAAAGAUGCUUUCUGGCUAGCUUUUCGCCAUCAGAUUGUAGAAGAUAUUACACAUACAGCAUAUUUAAUGCACACUGUUUCUGGGAUUAUUUUUAACACUGUGUUACGCGUCCAAGACGUAUUGUGCUUAAUGCAACCUGCUUAUGAUUAUUAUAACCCUUAUAUGUUUGCAGCAGCUAAAUAAACUCCACAUCAAAUAAAUUACUGCAGCAAUGUUAUUAGGCCAGCAGCAAUGUUAAGGACAUCUGUUAACUCUUUUUCAAAUGCCCUGUCCUUACUCGUUUAUUCUAAACAUUUCUGUUGUUAAUUACUACUUAAGUACAUCCAGUAGUCAUUCCCACAGAGCUGUGAAGACCAGCUGAGGAGGACCAGGCAGGUUUAGGUCCCAGUCUCAGCCUUGCUCUGAUUGCCACUGUGAGGGGGGGGCCUGUAGCUUAUUGUUCUAGGGUAAACACAGGAAAAUCAGGGUAGUUGACACAUAUUUCCAUUUUUGCAGUUACAGCUCUAGUCAAUGAGACCUCAUCUCAAUCAGCAUGGCGUAGUCUGAGCAACUUGCCCUGCUUAGGCUCUCAAAGUCUAACUUCUUGUUAUUAGAGCUGGUGAAACAAAAAAAUGGCAAUGAAACUUUCUGUGUCAAAAUAUGUUUUUGUCAAGGAUAAAAUGUUUAGCAAAAAUACAUCUGUUUCAAAAACAUAUUUGUCAAGAAGGUUUCUCAGCUCCGAGAUGACAUUUCUAGUGAGAAAGUGAGUCUAUUGCUGAGUGGUUGCAGCCCAGAUCUGGGAGAUGAAAGAUGAGCAGCGCCUUAGCCACUGGGUUGACGAGUCUCUCUGCCAAUCGCGUUUGUUAUAAUGCAGAAUGAAAACAUUGUUGAGAAUUGAAAUGUUUUCCGGCUUAGUCUUUAUUAUGUGGUAAAACGUUACACAUCAGAACCCGGUUCACGGUUCUUCUAAAAAUAAUCUCUUUCCAUUUGAAAUUCAUGUGAGACCGUAACAUGUUUUCCGAUCUGGCACCAAGAGUGGCCCAGGUCUCAUCUUUAUUUGUAAUUUGGUGAAUUGCAGGUAUUUGAUCAUGAAAACAAACAGGAUGCUGUUUUUCAAAGCUUGGAUGGAACUUAAGAGCAAACCUGCUAAAUUAAAACAAGCAAUAAUAAAAGGACCCGCAGAAAUUCUUUAUAGACAGUGUCUAAAAGGUUUCUGUUUCUGUUGGGAGGUUUGCCAGAGCAGUGUGGAGCCAUGUAGCUUUUCAUCAGCGUUGUAGGAAAAAUAGAUGCAAAGUAAGGAAUAGUCGAUAAGUGUGUUUUGGUUUUGUCAUCUGAGCAAUGUCUGAUUUUGAAAUUACAGUCUUGCCUCUCAAUAUGAUUGAGGCAAACCUGUAGUAUAUACUUGCAGUAUUGCCAGCUCCAGAAUUUUCUCUUGCUCAUUACUACUGUAAUUCAGUUAAUCACAAAGCGCAUGGGGCUCAUUGCAGUGUGUGAGGCUGUGGAGGAUCACAGCUCGGAUACAAACCUCUCGUUAAAUGAUUCACCCGCAAACAGCCGGAGCGACCAAAGACAGGACUAACUGCCUGCAAGUGCACAAAUUUCAGGUUGCAGGAUGGCAUCUCCUCCUUUGCUCUCCUCCUUGGCCAGACCAAGGCGCCCCAGUGAGCCCUUGACCUCCAGUGGCAAAGCCGGUAGGGAGAUUCCCACACCUGCUCCCCAGAGUCUGUCAGAUAAGAUCAUGGAUUGGCCAACUUUUGUUUAUGGGCCAAUGAAUUAUGCAGCUGGGGUAAUUAGAUGUUUUGUUUUGUGAUUCAGGAUUAUGCUCCUAGGGUGCCAACCUAGGAAAGUCUUCGAAACUGCAUAAUAAAAGUUAUUUUUAUGCAGAAGUGGAAAUAUUUGAAUGCAAAAGAGAGUUGAGUGGGGAUAGCUAGUGUCCCCCCCGUAUUUGGAGAGGAAAUGUGCAGCAUAACCUCUAGUUGUUAUCCAUUAAAGCUUUGAUUUCUCUUGCAUUGUAUGGCGAAGGAAUAGGCUAUUGUAGCAUAAACUCCAAAGGAAAAUUAGUAUUUCUGUCUUCCCCCAAGCAGACCUGUAAGACACACAUGUUUUUGUGUAGAUGGAAAACAUAUAUGGAAUUAUAUGUGUGUAUUCAGAGACUCUGUUUAUUUGUAUAGUUACUGUAUGCUAUUUGUGUAAUAGAAUCCUGAUUGCAACUAAAAUUCAAUAUUCUUUAGCUAAACCAUCGUUUCCAUGAUAUCCUUCUCUGCAUAUUUUGAAAGACAUUUGAGGUAGCAGACUAGUAUGUAGUUUUGACUUCUCUAACCUACAUGCCUUAUGUUUGUGCCUCAAGAUAACAUUGAAUAACAUAUUUAAACUACUCAUGUGUGAAAAAGCAAAAUUAUAUCUCAUGAACUGAUUUCUUCACACAUUCAAAAAUUGAAUUCCCCUUUUGUUCAGAAACUCAACAGAAAUCAGAAGGAAAACAAUGUUUGCAGAAAUUAUACAGUAUUUCCAAAUGGAGACACUAUGGAUGCCUUUAAUGAGAAGGGAUUAUAUUAAUUUUAAAAGUUAAAUCAUUUGACAAAGGUAUUUUAUAAAUGUAGUUUUCAUUCUGUAGGCAUUACAGUCUGGUUCAGUUGAUAAUGAGUCAGAAGUUUACUGAGCUGUUAUGAUUUAAUAUUUUGAGUUGAAUCUUGAUAUUGUAAAAUAGUAAUUGUUGAUAACCAUAUUUGAUUCUUUCUUCAAUUUCAUCACCCACGAGAACCAGUACCGUCAAAUGCUAAUGCUCUAUUUACAUACAAUAAAAACUAGCGGUGCUUAUGUUCUUGUGGCUAUCAUUAAUAUUUGUUAAACGUAUAUUUGCUUUCUAUAUGUCUGUGAGUAUGUAGUAGUUUUGUGUGGGUAUGUAUAAAUUAUACCAAAGCCAUGGUCUUUCAAGGAUUUUAAUUACUAUGUAGCUGUUCUUUGAGUUUUUCUAGACAAGGCAGACAUGAAAUGAUGAGCUGUUCUGCAGUCCCUAGCAUUAAAGCUGUUAAAGCUCAGACUUUGGAACUCCAACAUCUAUUUGAAAACAGAACUUGAUAACACAGGAUGCAAGUCUAAAAUAACCAAACCAAAACAAAAUCACAAACCAAACUCUGGGGAGAACUUAUGUUUAUUACCAUAUAAUUAACAUUUUCUUUUUCAGUAUGAUGCGACUGUUUAGCUUUUAUGGGUAUGCAGAGUAGCGAGAUGGUAAGGCGUUACAGUAACUUUGCUGUUGGUGCAAAACCAAAUUAGACUUGGUCUGCUUCCUAGUGCGAGUUGGUUAGACAGAGACCGAGUUGGGCACUGUGCGGAACAUUGCUCAAAACCUGGCGAUUGCUCUUGGAAACUGUUGAGUUGCUGGAGUUCCACUGAAGGUGAUGUGCUUUUUGAUGUAAGAAACCAAACACUUUAUAAAUCAGUUUGUAAAGAGCAAUAUUUUUCAGAAUAAAUAAUGUUCUGGUUACUGAUUUGUGUCAUUAACUGGCCUGUAGUUUUGAAGGAAUAUUUGUGUAAGACCAAAUUAAGUCACUUGGGGAGCAGCGAAGGCUUGUGAAGAGCAGCGUGUAAUCCGGCCAUGCAUUUUGCUGCAAUUUAAUUUUGAAAGGGUAAGUAGAAGCCAAGGUAUAAGAACUUGGGCAGUUAGUGGGAAAAGCUGAUAUGGGAUUAUCAAGGUUAGAGUUCAGAUAGAACAGAUGGUAAAAUAGUUAUAACCUACUGCACCAUAUGUUACUGCCACACGCAUUCAGGUAGCACAUGACAUGUCCUGUGUGGAAAGAUCAGUGGUCCUAACGCAGGUUUUUGGAAAGACCAAAAAAGCCCUUGAAAAACUGAUUUAAUAAUUUCAGGCCAGGUUAAUGAGAAAGCUGUAACUGGUUCAACUCGCUAGUCCAGAAAGGGACACAAAAUAUUAGACACAGCACGCAGCUUUAUCUGUUCUAAUUCUGAGGAAGCUGAAAUGAAGCUUGUAUUUCAGAUCUAUUCCAGGCUCAUUAUACUUGAAUUUCUGGGGAAAGUAUUUAAAGAAUAAACAGUUUCACAGGACUUGAAUUCAGAGCAUUGAAAACAGGUUAUGAUGUGAUUUAUGAUUUUUGUAACUUUUAAUCAGGGGCCAGGUUUUCAUAGGAGCACGCUGUUAAGGUGCCAAUGAAGUGAUAAAAUUCUCAUUGGAAACAACUGGAGCUUCACUGGGUUAGAGGACUUUAGAAAAUCUGACUCGUGAUCCAUAAUCUCUGCUGUUAUUGCUGAAAUACUUCUUAAAGAAUCUGAUCUGAUACCAUGAAAAUCGGAAGGUAUAAGACAAGAAAGAGAAAAAAGGGUUAAUAAGUCAGAAGUGCUCAGAGAAGAAGUGGAAUGGUAGCAAAGAAGAAAAAUGAAGGCAGAGAGUUGUGAUUUGGAGUGGUGCUAAAGAGCCUCUGGGCCUGAGAUUCAUCUCGCAUUUUAUAAUGCUCAUGUUGUGUUGUAUCAUAAUGCGCUUGCUCCUACUCGAGCUGCUUCUCCUCUCUUAUUGCCAAUGGUAAAAAUAGGCCAGUAGCAUCAUUUCGUACUACCGGGUGCAUCCUGAAUUCCGCGUUGUUAUUCACUUGCCUCUCUAAUUAAUGUAGUAAUCCUGUGCAGUGUGUGCAUGUGUACGUUGGCGUGUGUCUGCUCGGUUGCCCUCUUCCGUCAUCUGUUCGAGUUCUCACGUUGCUGAUGAUGGGUUUGCCAGCUCCCUUCCAAGACGCUGAAUAUAUUGCACUCGGCGGCCUUUUGUUUAACUUUGCCAAAAAAUAACUCCCAUCGUGAGCCUGUGUUUUUUGGCUGGUACUUUGGGGAAGGUUUUUCUUCUGUAGUUGCAAACCUCUUUUUUAUAUGUUUAUUUUAUUUUGGGAGUAAAUAGAUCUGAGAGCCUUGUCAGUUUAUACACUGAUCAGUGUCAACUUUCAGGGCCUGUCAGUAAUAGCUAAGCAAUAUGUAUCAGAUGAUUAAUGCUAUUAGGCAAUUUUUUUGUCUUAGACUUAUUACCUGUUAUAUUAUAGUAUCUGUUUUAAUUAGAGAUUGUAAUGAACCCUUUGAUUUUGGCUAUCUGUUUUUUAAUUUAUUUAAAAUAAUAACUAUAUAUUGGGGUUUUUUUUUCUAAUAAAUGGGAGGUUGUAAUAGUUACUUGUUAAUUCUUCUUUUCUUGAGGUAGUCUGAGUGGUAUCCGAAUGUAUCAGGAUAGAAAGAUGACAGGCUAGAGAGAACUAAAAAUGGAGCUUUAACAUCUGAAAAAAAUGUUUAUGGAGGAAGAUAAGGAUUUGGGAAUUCAUGUAGUAAGAGGAGAUUACAGGGUUUUUAAUGUUAGAGCAAAGUUGCAAUUGUCAGUAUACUAUAGUUGAACUGAUCUGCGUUUACUCAAGGCUUGACUGUCUUAUUUUGUCUGAUGACGGAGAGAAAGGAAAAACCUGGAGGUUAGAGGACAGUAUGAAGCAGAGGGGCUUUGUUUGUUUGGGUUUUGUUUGGCUUUUGUUGUUGUUUUGUUUUGUUUUAUGUUUUUCUUGAAAAAAUAAUAAUAAUAAGGUGCUAGAAGCGUGUGUGCUGAAGCAUCUGAAGCUCCUCGGCAGAUGAGGUUGCAGUGUGGAGGACAGGGAGCGAUGGCGAGUGCUGGGGACUGGCAGGUCACGGAGCGUUUCGGCUCCGAGUCCCGGAGCACUGACCCCGGUGUGGACGAGGAGAGAGGCCAGGGCUUGGGAAGGGACCCGAGAGACACGGGAGGGAAGCAGCACGUGGUGACGCUGACGUGCGAGGGGAUGUGGAGGGGAAGGUAUUGAAUGAGGGCUCCGAGAAGCUUGCUGGUGUCUGUAGGGGAGAAAACCCACCUUGUGUCCUUUUUGGAGCCGUUCUUCUGGGAGUUAUUUGUGCCAAGCCGAUUCAAGUUUUCAAAUGUUUUAUGAACAAACCACUGCCUUAAAAAGAGUAAAGAGUGAGACUUAGUUGUGAGAAACAGAAAUGUUAAGAAAUCAAGAAAUGAGUGGCCAAAUGAUUCAGCAGCUUCUCCCCGCUGAACCGUCAUCUCUCCCUAACGUCUGAAAUGCACCAGGCCUUAAUUAUAUUCCAUGAUAUAUGCAGUAAUAGAGUGUUAGCUAUCUUCCAUAUUCUAUUUACAGGUAUAACGUCUUAUUUCCUGUGCACAGGACUGUGUUCUGACAAUGUGUUUAUCUUGCAAGCUGAAGGUAUUAAUAAUUAGUGCUUAAUUCUAUUGCCACUCAGUUCUGAGAUAACCGCAUCACAUCACCUGCUUUGUUUUCUUUUAUGUAAUGGGUUGGGUGUAUGAUUUUGGGCCAUGCGCUACCCUCAAUCCACAGAGGAGCCUCUGUUAAUUAUAGGGAAAGGUUUAUACCCCUGUUUGUAGAUUAGACGAGCAACUUCUACAUGGGAAUAAAAUGUGCCAAGAGCUGGUAGGUCUGUGGCUAUUUUUGCCCUUUGUUUGGCAAGUGGUGCAUAAAGUCACUUGAUUGGCACGUGCACAAUUGGUGGGAGCGCACAAGAUGGCCCACAGUUGCUAACAUAAUGAUUUUAAAGUCUGGCUGUUAUACAUCAUAAUUAGGCUUAAGAACUGAGAGUCAGUUGAGAUGAAUGAGAGCAAUUCUUGCUCUCAGGAGUUGAGAAAGUGAUUUUGGUUUAGAUUCUGCAUUUGUAAGAUAUUUUUUUUUCCACACAAGCAUCUCUGUCUUCUGCUCUUCCCCCUCCCAUGGGAGGGCUGGCAGUAUACAAAACAUCUAUAUGAUAUCUGUGUCUCACCGUAAAUAGGCGAGCUGUAGUUAGCACGUGAAGUGUCGUGAUGCGCCUCUUAGCGCUGACUUUUUCUUCAUCAAAACCAGCUGUGAAUGGGGCUGCUCCCCACAGAGACCGUGUCCCCUACACUCGUUCUGCUCAGCGUGUCUUCAGUAAGAGAGAGACCAAAAAAGCAACCUUACUGGCUAGCAAUCAUGUCUGUUUUAGUUAGGUAUUUAAGUAACUAAAUUUUACAGUUACAUGUGUCUAGAGAUUGAGUGUCAAGAAUAUUUUAAUUAUUCUAAGUUUCUGAUUAAAUCGAAGUGCCAAUCAUACAGGUUAGGAAAGAAAACGCCACCCACUAUGUAAAGCUGAGAUAGUUUUGAGCUACUAUCAAGGAUUACCGCAAGGAGAAAUUCAGGUGGGAAUCACGUAUGAUUCAAGGAAGAUGUGAAUCCUGCAAGUUAGGCUGCAGGGCUUCUCCCAAGGCUGGUUUGACGUUUCUUGACUCUUCCGAGAGAAUACAGGGAUGUACAGCAUGACUGGGCUGGAGCGAGGUGGGCAAGUCCUUUAAAAAACAAAACCACCACCAAAAAACCCCAUGCUAUUAUUGAAAGAUGAGAAGGGAAAAGCACCACAAUGCUUGAAAAAUAACAAUAAAAAAAAUGUGGCAGGAUUAGUAUUUCAAAGGGAGCGGCACUUUAUUAAACAUUUGGAAAGCAUGGGAGGAGAAACAUUCCAAACAAAAUGAAAAUAUAUGUGUACGAUGGAAACAGGAUAAAUAGAAUAUUCCACUUGUAAUUACCACUGCAAGAACACAGCCCAAAUUUAGAGUUCUUAAUCUUAAUUUUUCAUUGCUUUUAAGUCCAAGUAAGGUGAGCGGAUUGUGGUAGGUAUGAGAUGUUUGUGGAUAAAGACGUUGGCAAGGUCUGUAGCUGCAGUGAGGAGCAGGUCCAUGAACAAAGUAAAUGGAAAGACCUGGAGCCUGCACCACCGGGCAAAUCCUGACUGUGACUGGACAUCAGAGGAUACAAGGCAUCUGUUCUUAUCGCGUACCAAGUGAGGGGCACAGAGAGGCCUUGGAAAGGUUAGAAGUCUUUGCGGAAUGCAGAGCUGGAUCUCUGUGCAGGGAAAUCUUGAGGUUUUCUGUGUUAUUUAGAGAUCUGCGUGGAUAAAUUGAUUAAGAAGUUAAAAUCAGCUGCAGUCGGGUUUCUUCCUGAGAAUGACCUGUUGAGGACCAGGCGGCUGAACAACCGUAUCCCUUGAGCAGGGCCUGGGCAUGUCCGGCGGGAGUCAGGCUGGCGCGGGGGCUCCUUCGGCCAGGCAGUAUGCACGACAGAAAAUCACGCGCGUAAACCUCAGGGACUUCAUCUUCUACAUGGAACAGGAAAGAGAAACGAGCC